rnacentral:rRNA from 1 species
GUAGGGGGCAAGCGUUAUCCGGAAUUACUGGGUGUAAAGGGAGCGUAGACGGCAAUGCAAGUUCGGAGUGGAAUGCAUCAGCUCAACUGAUGAACUGCUCUGAAAACUGUAUAGCUAGAGUGCAGGAGGGGUAAGCGGAAUUCCUGGUGUAGCGGUGAAAUGCGUAGAUAUCAGGAGGAACACCGGUGGCGAAGGCGGCUUACUGGACUGUAACUGACGUUGAGGCUCGAAAGCGUGGGGAGCAAAC